rnacentral:rRNA from 1 species
CCACGUUGAAUACGUUCCCGGGUCUUGUACACACCGCCCGUCAAGUCACGAAAAUCAGGGGUGCCCGAAGUGCUUAUUUACUAAGCCCUAAGGCAAAUCUGGUAAUUGGGACU